AUGCAACCCAUUCUCACUCCAAAGGCGUCAAAAACCGAAGCAUGGUCAAGCGCCCCUAGCGUCACUUUUAUGACGCCAAAUGUGCCUCUCGGCGUCGACUAUCGAAGCACUACGACCUUCAUUGCUUUCAAUGGGAAACUUUUGGCGUCAGAAUUCGACACGAGGACAUGAGAUGUUUAUCGCUAUGAAAUCACGUUCAAGAAGUCUCAUUCAGCACACAUCGCGCGAUACUUGCUAUCAGUUCCACAGUUUGGCUGAAAAGACGUAAAGGCAGUCAGCCCAGUGGUGUUUCUGGAGAGGGAUUCCUUCAGAAAUGGAGAAGACAGAAAGCUGCGGAGGCAGAUAUUUGCAGCAUGUUCGAGUGAGCAUGAUGACCACAAGUGUGUGUCAAACUUUUCAUGACCUGAUGACUGUGUUUCCCAAUCCUGAUCCUGGAGAACCCCAGCACUGCACGGUUUUGGCGUCUCUCUUAUCUGCCUUGGAGUCUUCACUGAUGAGCUGAUGAGUUGAAUCAGGUCUAAAAUAUCGAGCUCAACAGCUAUUUUAAGAGCCAACCCUCACAAACCUUCCUAAAACCUAAAAGAGCUAUUACUGAGUCUCAGCGAAUCUUGCCAUGAUCAGCUCUUCCCAGAAGAGAAGGAAGACCAAGGAAAUUAUUUGCUCAGGAUGAGAAAUGAAGACGGCCAUCUUGUGCUCAAACAAACAGAAGUCCUCUGAUGAUCUCAUCAGCCAAAUGAGGGGUUUUGACCAAGUGAUGCUCUUGAAAGGAGAGAAAGAAGAGGAUGUGGUAAAUUCUCUUCAGAGAAAAAGCUUCUCAAAAGGUCUUAAAACAGCUUGAAGAAUGGUCUGGGAUGUUAGGACUGAGAGAUCCUCUGGCUGAGAACAAGCUACACCACAUCAGUGCUGGAUAUCAACCACAAACUGUUUCCAGACACGAGAGAAGAAGAACACGAUGGGGAGAUGAAACCAGUUUAGAUGUGAUGAUGGGAAUCAUUAUUUUCUGGAACAGUAUCACAUGUCUUAUAUGUAUCACAUGAUCUGUAUCACAGUUGACUGGAUGGGACUGUG